UUUCCGUAGGUGAACCUGCGGAAGGAUCAUUACCGAGUGAGGGCCCCCUGGGUCCAACCUCCCACCCGUGUUUAUCGUACCUUGUUGCUUCGGCGGGCCCGCCUCACGGCCGCCGGGGGGCACCCGCCCCCGGGCCCGCGCCCGCCGAAGACACCAUUGAACGCUGUCUGAAGAUUGCAGUCUGAGCAUCUUAGCUAAAUCAGUUAAAACUUUCAACAACGGAUCUCUUGGUUCCG
rnacentral:misc_RNA from 1 species